rnacentral:lncRNA from 1 species
UCUUGUCCUCCACUGAAGACACUUCUAUAUUCUCCCAGAUAAUCUCAUUUCUAACUCUAUCCCUACUAGAAAGUCCAUACAUCCAUUGCAAUAAUCUCAUCUCUGCCACCUUUAUCUUCUAUAUGUGGGAGUUCUUAAUUGGCCAACACUCUGCUCCAUAAAACAUAGCCGAUCGAACUACCACUCUAUAAAACUUACCUUUGAGUUAUGAAGGCACCUUCAUAUCACAUAAGACUCCCGA